AUACGUAGGGUGCGAGCGUUGUCCGGAAUUACUGGGCGUAAAGAGCUCGUAGGUGGUUUGUCGCGUCGUCUGUGAAAUUCCGGGGCUUAACUCCGGGCGUGCAGGCGAUACGGGCAUGACUUGAGUACUGUAGGGGAGACUGGAAUUCCUGGUGUAGCGGUGAAAUGCGCAGAUAUCAGGAGGAACACCGGUGGCGAAGGCGGGUCUCUGGGCAGUAACUGACGCUGAGGAGCGAAAGCAUGGGUAGCGAACAGGAUUAGAUACCCUGGUAGUCCAUGCCGUAAACGGUGGGCGCUAGGUGUAGGGGUCUUCCACGACUUCUGUGCUGUAGCUAACGCAUUAAGCGCCCCGCCUGGGGAGUACGGCCGCAAGGCUAAAACUCAAAGGAAUUGACGGGG
rnacentral:rRNA from 1 species